AUAUUUAUUAUAUACAGGUUUUGGAGAAAAUCCUUCUAGUGUGUGAAUUUAAAAUAUUGGACGACCAAAACUUUUUUGAUGGCCAGUUGUGAACAUCAAAGAAUAUGAAUCUAUAGUCGAAAGACACAACAGAACUACUCAACAUGGUUGCCAAACCUACGAAGAAAGCCUCAGGUUCCAUCAUUUCACAUCAUCCAGAACAUACUAGUUCCUGAUGGGUCUUCUCCUCUCCUUCUUUCGUUCUCUUCUCGCGAUCGUGUUUAUUCUUAUCGUAUGCCUGGGGGCAGUGCCUUUCCGAGUUAAUGCAGGUUUUGCAGAUGAUGGGAUAAGGAGAAAUAUUCGACAGAACAGAGUACAGCCAAGCCCCCCUCCACCCCCCAGGGUGAGUCAGUCUACGGUUUACAUCGCGCCCGUGGCUGCUCCGCCUCCCCGAGCAUCAUAAGAUCCACAAACGUUAAUUCUAUCAUCCAAACAGUUCUUAUACUUGAUAUCAUCUCCCUGGAAGCUGCUCGUACGAUCGGAUGGGAAUGAUCAUUGUUCGGUUUGUCGGUAGGUCCUGGAUCAUAACUGAUGCGUAUGAGUCGCUUAGAAUUGCUACGUAAGCCCUUAUCUUGUAUUUGGACAUUGAUUUACGACUUGAUGUGCAUGGAUAUACGUAAGUCGUUCGUUCAGGCGUUUUGUUCUUCAUUACUGGUGCUUUAUGAGUACAUGAUCGUGUCAAUUUCC